rnacentral:rRNA from 1 species
CCCUUUCGGGGGUACUCGAGCGGCGAACGGGUGAGUAACACGUGAGUAAUCUGCCCUGCGCUCUGGGAUAGCCACCGGAAACGGUGAUUAAUACCGGAUAGGACCACUUCACGCAUGUGAUGGUGGUGGAAAGUUUUUUCGGCGCAGGAUGUGCUCGCGGCCUAUCAGCUUGUUGGUGAGGUAACGGCUCACCAAGGCUUUGACGGGUAACCGGCCUGAGAGGGUGACCGGUCACACUGGGACUGAGACACGGCCCAGACUCCUACGGGAGGCAGCAGUGGGGAAUAUUGGACAAUGGGCGGAAGCCUGAUCCAGCAACGCCGCGUGAGGGAUGACGGCCUUCGGGUUGUAAACCUCUUUCAGUACCGACGAAGCGAAAGUGACGGUAGGUACAGAAGAAGGACCGGCCAACUACGUGCCAGCAGCCGCGGUAAUACGUAGGGUCCGAGCGUUGUCCGGAAUUAUUGGGCGUAAAGGGCUCGUAGGCGGUUUGUCGCGUCGGGAGUGAAAACACCGGGCUUAACUCGGUGCUUGCUUUCGAUACGGGCAGACUAGAGGUAUGCAGGGGAGAAUGGAAUUCCUGGUGUAGCGGUGAAAUGCGCAGAUAUCAGGAGGAACACCGGUGGCGAAGGCGGUUCUCUGGGCAUUACC